CCCGCUGGCUGUGAAUCCAGUCCAACUGCGUGCAAAUUACGCCUUUGCUUUAUGUUUACUGAGCAACAACUAUGUGCCACAACAGAUUUUUUUAUUACUCUAUUUUAUUUGCAAUCACAGAUCUGAAGUUUAUCAAUACAUGAUCUCCUCAAAAACGAAAGAAAUAAAACAAGUAUCUGCAAUUUGCUGAGAAUUUAAUAUGUGUCAGUUGCCUGCAAAACUCAUCAUUCUUUAGAGUUUCAAAUACAUCUGUGAGGACGCUAUUGUUGUUUCCACUUAUACAUGAGAAAACUUACAAAAGGCAAGAGACAAGCCCACGGUCACCCAGCUGGUAUUUUGCCAAAGACUGAGGAUUCGGAUAUGACUACGGAAAGGAAAACUAAGCUCCAUGAGAAGAGGGGACUUGCCCAUGUGGCUCAGGGCUCUAUGCCCAGUGCCCUAGACAGUGCCUGACUGUGUGUGCGGAAUGAAUGAAUAACCUUGGUGAUCCACCCAAUGGCACUGGCGCUCAGUGACCUCAUCUGAAAUGGAAUAAGGAUUUUUAUGAAAAUGCAUGUUUGUUGGAUAACACAAAGGAGAAUAUU
rnacentral:sRNA from 1 species